UAUUUCUUGGAAACGGUCCUCCGACCAAGACAUAAGGUCCAAUUUGUUGACACUAACAACUAUUUCCGAGAUUCCAAGGGCUCGCAACAGAUAGGCGUGCUCCCUUGUUUGUCCAUUUUCCAAAAAACCACGCUCAAAAUUGUUUUGAGAGGAGUCGACAACUAACACAGCAAAAUCAGCUGAAGAUGCGCCGGCUAUCAUCCCUGAAAUGAAAUCCCGGUGACCUGGCGCAUCACCAAUUUCAUAAAUUUUUUUAUCACUCUCGAAAGUGGUGGAAGCAACAUCCAUUGUAACACCUCGUGCUCGUUCUUCCUCGGUUGUAUCCAACAACCAAGCAUACGAAAAGCUACCUUUUCCUGAAUUGGCAGCCUCGUUGUGCAACUUUUGCAUUGACCGACUAUUGAUUUCUCCUAACUCAAACAUUAUUCUCCCAAGCAUAGUACUCUUUCCCGAAUCAACAUGUCCUGUAACAACUAAGUGAACCACGGGUUUAGGAUUGGAUUGUUCAAAUAUUUCGGGAACAGAUACUAGAUCCGUCGGGUUUUGCUUUUUAAUUUUCUUUUUCUCCGGUUGGUUAUCGCUUUCGGAGGAAUUUUUCAUCUUUACUUCACCGUUCGUCUGAAAUGCUGGUUCAUCAUUUUUGUUUAGGCUUAAAUUUUUAAUACCAUUAGAAGAUUCAUCCAAUGGAUCUUUGGCAUCCGCUAAAGCUUCUUUCGAUUUGUUCUGUUUUUUUUCUUUUUGGGAAUCAGUAUUCUGUUUUUCUUUAGCUCCAGCUUUGGAACUAGCCUUUUGCAAAAGAUAGUUGACUGAUUUCUCUACGUCAAAGUAAUAGUACCAAACUGUAUCGGCAAUUUCUUUUUCUGAAAUAGGAACACCUAAUAAUGUCUCCCUUACUGUGGCUACAGCAGACCUGAAUUCCUCUAGAUAUUGUUCGUUAAUAUUUUUAAGAAAUCAUUUACUAACCUUCCUGCUCUUCAGUCAAUUCUUCCUCUCCUGGCUCCUCGUCGAGUUCAUAAUCUAGAAAGACGUUAAAAAAAAAUACAAACUAUUACAAUAUCAAAUGGUACGAACCAUCAAGAUCAAGAUUUUUUACAUCACGAUGCCUCGACAUAUUUUGAAUUUGUUAUUUUUGCCAAAAGUC